rnacentral:rRNA from 1 species
UUAAAUUGAAGAGUUUGAUCAUGGCUCAGAUUGAACGCUGGCGGCAGGCCUAACACAUGCAAGUCGAACGGUAACAGGAAGAAGCUUGCUUCUUUGCUGACGAGUGGCGGACGGGUGAGUAAUGUCUGGGAAACUGCCUGAUGGAGGGGGAUAACUACUGGAAACGGUAGCUAAUACCGCAUAACGUCGCAAGACCAAAGAGGGGGACCUUCGGGCCUCUUGCCAUCGGAUGUGCCCAGAUGGGAUUAGCUAGUAGGUGGGGUAACGGCUCA